ensembl:snRNA U6 U6 spliceosomal RNA
CCACUUUAGCAGCACAUAUACCAAAAUUGGAAUGACACAGAACAUGGGCCCGGAACAAGGAUGACAUGCAAAUUUGUGAAGUGUUCCAUAUUUUU